CUACGGGCCGCUCCAGUAAGGAAUAUUGCGCAAUGGAGGCAACUCUGACGCAGCCAUGCCGCGUGCAGGAAGAAGGCCUUAUGGGUCGUAAACUGCUUUUAUUUAGGAAUAAACCCCCGAACGUGUUCGGGGCUGAAGGUACUAAACGAAUAAGCACCGGCUAACUCCGUGCCAGCAGCCGCGGUAAUACGGAGGGUGCAAGCGUUAUCCGGAUUUAUUGGGUUUAAAGGGUGCGCAGGCGGGCUAUUAAGUCAGUGGUGAAAUCCCGGGGCUCAACUCCGGAACUGCCAUUGAUACUGAUAGUCUUGAGUUUGGUUGAAGUGGGCGGAAUGUAGCAUGUAGCGGUGAAAUGCAUAGAUAUGCUACAGAACACCAAUCGCGAAGGCAGCUCACUAAGCCAAAACUGACGCUCAUGCACGAAAGCGUGGGGAUCAAACAGGAUUAGAUACCCUUGUAAUC
rnacentral:rRNA from 1 species